rnacentral:rRNA from 1 species
GAUGAACGCUGGCGGCGUGCCUAAUACAUGCAAGUCGAGCGAACAGACGAGGAGCUUGCUCCUCUGACGUUAGCGGCGGACGGGUGAGUAACACGUGGAUAACCUACCUAUAAGACUGGGAUAACUUCGGGAAACCGGAGCUAAUACCGGAUAACAUGUUGAACCGCAUGGUUCAACAGUGAAAGACGGUCUUGCUGUCACUUAUAGAUGGAUCCGCGCCGCAUUAGCUAGUUGGUAAGGUAACGGCUUACCAAGGCAACGAUGCGUAGCCGACCUGAGAAGGUGAUCGGCCACACUGGAGCGGGGACACGGUCCAGAGUCCUACGGGAGGCAGCAGUAGGGAAUCUUCCGCAAUGGGCGAAAGCCUGACGGAGCAACGCCGCGUGAGUGAAGAAGGUCUUCGGAUCGUAAAACUCUGUUAUUAGGGAAGAACAAAUGUGUAAGUAACUAUGCACGUCUUGACGGUACCUAAUCAGAAAGCCACGGCUAACUACGUG